UACGUAGGUGGCAAGCGUUGUCCGGAUUUACUGGGCGUAAAGAGCGCGCAGGCGGUCGGCCAAGUCGAGUGUGAAAGCCCCCGGCUCAACUGGGGAGGGUCAUUCGAUACUGGUCGACUCGAAGGCAGGAGAGGGAAGCGGAAUUCUCGGUGUAGUGGUGAAAUGCGUAGAUAUCGGGAGGAACACCAGUGGCGAAGGCGGCUUCCUGGCCUGUUCUUGACGCUGAGGCGCGAAAGCUAGGGGAGCAAACGGG
rnacentral:rRNA from 1 species